rnacentral:tRNA from 1 species
CCGACGGGUGCGCUGGUGAGUUCGGCGGCGGUGGUGGCGUUCCACCGGACGGCGCCGUUCGCGUUGGCGCUGGUGUUCGUGACGGCGUCGUCGGCC